UACAGAGGGUGCAAGCGUUAAUCGGAAUUACUGGGCGUAAAGCGUGCGUAGACGGUUACAUAAGUCAGAUGUGAAAGCCCCGGGCUCAACCUGGGAAUUGCAUUUGAGACUGUGUAGCUAGGGUGCGGAAGAGGGAAGCGGAAUUUCCGGUGUAGCGGUGAAAUGCGUAGAUAUCAGGAGGAACACCAAUGGCGAAGGCAGCACUCUGGGACGUGACUGACGCUGAGACGCGAAAGCGUGGGGAGCAAACAGG
rnacentral:rRNA from 1 species